UACGGAGGGUGCAAGCGUUAUCCGGAUUUACUGGGUUUAAAGGGUGCGUAGGUGGGUUGGUAAGUCAGUGGUGAAAUACUUUCGCUUAACGAAGGAACUGCCAUUGAUACUAUCAAUCUUGAAUGUAGUGGAGGUAGGCGGAAUGCGUCAUGUAGCGGUGAAAUGCUUAGAUAUGACAUAGAACACCAAUUGCGAAGGCAGCUCACUACACAAUCAUUGACUCUGAGGCACGAAAGCGUGGGGAUCAAACAGG
rnacentral:rRNA from 1 species